rnacentral:rRNA from 1 species
GGGAAUCUACCUUUUGCUACGGAAUAACGCAGGGAAACUUGUGCUAAUACCGUAUGUGCCCUUCGGGGGAAAGAUUUAUCGGCAAAGGAUGAGCCCGCGUUGGAUUAGCUAGUUGGUGGGGUAAAGGCCUACCAAGGCGGCGAUCCAUAGCUGGUCUGAGAGGAUGAUCAGCCACAUUGGGACUGAGACACGGCCCAAACUCCUACGGGAGGCAGCAGUGGGGAAUAUUGGACAAUGGGCGCAAGCCUGAUCCAGCCAUGCCGCGUGAGUGAUGAAGGCCUUAGGGUUGUAAAGCUCUUUCACCGGUGAAGAUAAUGACGGUAACCGGAGAAGAAGCCCCGGCUAACUUCGUGCCAGCAGCCGCGGUAAUACGAAGGGGGCUAGCGUUGUUCGGAUUUACUGGGCGUAAAGCGCACGUAGGCGGAUCGAUCAGUCAGGGGUGAAAUCCCAGGGCUCAACCCUGGAACUGCCUUUGAUACUGUCGAUCUGGAGUAUGGAAGAGGUGAGUGGAAUUCCGAGU